UCCCCGCUUUUCCUCCCUGAGCGGGGCCUUGAUGUGUGACAGCAAAUAGGCUUCUACCCCAGCCAUUGUGCUGGGGUUUUUUUU
rnacentral:ncRNA from 1 species